rnacentral:rRNA from 6 species
AGACCCGAAACCCGGUGAUCUAGCCAUGGGCAGGUUGAAGGUUGGGUAACACUAACUGGAGGACCGAACCGACUAAUGUUGAAAAAUUAGCGGAUGACCUGUGGCUGGGGGUGAAAGGCCAAUCAAACCGGGAGAUAGCUGGUUCUCCCCGAAAGCUAUUUAGGUAGCGCCUCGUGAAUUCAUCUCCGGGGGUAGAGCACUGUUUCGGCUAGGGGGCCAUCCCGGCUUACCAACCCGAUGCAAACUGCGAAUACCGGAGAAUGUUAUCACGGGAGACACACGGCGGGUGCUAACGUCCGUCGUGAAGAGGGAAACAACCCAGACCGCCAGCUAAGGUCCCAAAGUCAUGGUUAAGUGGGAAACGAUGUGGGAAGGCCCAGACAGCCAGGAUGUUGGCUUAGAAGCAGCCAUCAUUUAAAGAAAGCGUAAUAGCUCACUGGUCGAGUCGGCCUGCGCGGAAGAUGUAACGGGGCUAAACCAUGCACCGAAGCUGCGGCAGCGACACUCAGGUGUUGUUGGGUAGGGGAGCGUUCUGUAAGCCUGUGAAGGUGGCCUGUGAGGGUUGCUGGAGGUAUCAGAAGUGCGAAUGCUGACAUAAGUAACGAUAAAGCGGGUGAAAAGCCCGCUCGCCGGAAGACCAAGGGUUCCUGUCCAACGUUAAUCGGGGCAGGGUGAGUCGACCCCUAAGGCGAGGCCGAAAGGCGUAGUCGAUGGGAAACGGGUUAAUAUUCCCGUACUUGGUGUUACUGCGAAGGGGGGACGGAGAAGGCUAUGUUGGCCGGGCGACGGUU